CGGGAAACUGACGUUGACGUCCUUCGGGAGACUGACAAAGGGGAGGAAAGUCCGGGCUUCAUAGAGCAAGGUGCCAGGUAACGCCUGGGGGGCGCAAGCCUACGACAAGUGCAGCAGAGAGAAGACCGCCGAUGGCCCGAAAGGGAACAGGUAAGGGUGAAAGGGUGCGGUAAGAGCGCACCGGACGACUAGUAAUAGUUCGUAGCAGGGUAA
rnacentral:RNase_P_RNA from 1 species